rnacentral:rRNA from 1 species
AUACCCGCUCCCCGAGUGGUGGGGACUAUUACUGGGCUUAAAGCGUCCGUAGCCGGCCGGGUGUGUCCUCCGUUAAAUCCACGGGCCUAACCCGUGGGCUGCGGGGGAUACUACCCGGCUUGGGGGUGGGAGAGGGCGGCGGUAUUCCCGGGGUAGGGGUAAAAUCCUCUGAUCCCGGGAGGACCACCAGUGGCGAAGGCGGCCGCCCAGAACACGCCCGACGGUGAGGGACGAAAGCUGGGGGAGCAAACGGGAUUAGAAACCCCAGUAGUCC